AUUGUUUAAAUUAAAUAUUUAUUUUUUAUAAAUUUAAAAUUAAUUUUUUAAAAAAAAAAUAUUUUUUAAGUAAAAAAGUUUUAAAAAAAAUAUUUUUAAUUAAUUAAUUAAUAUAUAAUUAUUAUAAAUUAAAUAAAUAUUAAUUUAUUUGUAUCUUGUGUAUCAAAGUUGUUUUAAUUUUUUAAUAAAUUAAAAUUAUUAUUUCGAAAUAAAAAGAUUUAAUUUAAAUAAUUAUUUUUUAUUUCAUAAAAAUUAAAAAAUUUAAAUUAGUAAUAAUAAGUUUUUCGAUUUUUAUUAUAUUUAAUUUUUUUUGAAAUUAAUUUAAUUAAUUUUAUUUUGUUUUUAUAAAUUCUAUUUUUAAUAUAUAAAAUAUUUUAUAAAUAAUAUAAUUAGGGAUAAUCUUUAUUAUAAAUUUUAAAAAUUAUUUAUUUUUUUUAAUAAAAUUUAUAUUCUAAUAAAUAGUAAUUUUAAAAAUUUGUUAUAAUUUAUUUAUAAAUAAAAAAAAUUUUUAUAUUAUAUUUUAUAAAUUUUAAAAAAAUAAAAUAUUUAAUAAUUUUAUAUUUUAAUUUUUUGAUAAAUUAGUAAUAUUUUUAAAAUUUUAUAAUUAUUAAUUCGGCAAUUUUUUUUAUUCAACUGUUUAACAAAAACAUUGUUUUAUAUUUUUUUUAUAAAAUAAAUCCUGCCCAUUGAUUAUAAUUAUUAAAAGGCCGCAGUAUUUUGACUGUGCUAAGGUAGCAUAAUCAUUAGAUUUUUAAUUGAAAUCUUGUUUGAAUGGUUAAAUGAAAUAAAGACUUUAUUAUUAUAAUAAAUUAAAUUUUAUUUUUAAGUAAAAAAUCUUAAUUAAUUUUAAGGGACGAGAAGACCCUAUAGAAUUUAAAAUUAAUUUUAAAUUAAAUUUAUUUAUUAUUUUUAAAUUAAAUUUAAAAAUAAUUUUUUGUUGGGGUGAUAAUUAAAUUUUAAAAACUUUUAAGAUAUUUUUCAUAAAUAAAUGUUUUUUUGAUCCAUUUUUAAUGAUUAAAAAAUUAAAUUACCUUAGGGAUAACAGCAUUAUAUUAUUAAGAAGUUCUUAUUUUUAAUAUUGAUUAUGACCUCGAUGUUGGAUUAAAUAAAAUUUUUAUAUGAAGAUAUAUUAAUAAUAAGUCUGUUCGACUUUUAAUUAUUUACAUGAUCUGAGUUCAAACCGGUGUAAGCCAGGUUGGUUUCUAUCUUUAUAAUUUUUAUAUAUAGUACGAAAGGAAUUAAAUAAUUAUUAAAAAAAAAAUAU
rnacentral:rRNA from 1 species